rnacentral:rRNA from 1 species
GACGAACGCUGGCGGCGUGCUUAACACAUGCAAGUCGAACGGAAAGGCCCUGCUUUUGUGGGGUGCUCGAGUGGCGAACGGGUGAGUAACACGUGAGUAACCUGCCCUUGACUUUGGGAUAACUUCAGGAAACUGGGGCUAAUACCGGAUAGGAGCUCCUGCUGCAUGGUGGGGGUUGGAAAGUUUCGGCGGUUGGGGAUGGACUCGCGGCUUAUCAGCUUGUUGGUGGGGUAGUGGCUUACCAAGGCUUUGACGGGUAGCCGGCCUGAGAGGGUGACCGGCCACAUUGGGACUGGGAUACGGCCCAGACUCCUACGGGAGGCAGCGGUGGGGAAUAUUGCACAAUGGGCGGAAGCCUGAUGCAGCAACGCCGCGUGCGGGAUGACGGCCUUCGGGUUGUAAACCGCUUUCGCCUGUGACGAAGCGUGAGUGACGGUAAUGGGUAAAGAAGCACCGGCUACCUACGU